rnacentral:rRNA from 1 species
AUUGAACGCUGGCGGCGGGCCUAACACAUGCAAGUCGAGCGAGCGGCGGACGGGUGAGUAAUGUCUGGGAAACUGCCUGAUGGAGGGGGAUAACUACUGGAAAAGGUAGCUAAUACCGCAUACCAUCAGAUGUGCCCAGAUGGAAUUAGCUAGUAGGUGGGGUAACGGCUUACCUAGGCGACGAUCCCUAGCUGGUCUGAGAGGAUGACCGGCCAUCCGGGACCUGAGACACGGUCCAGACUCCGCCGGGAGGCAGCAGUGGGGAAUAUUCCGCAAUGGGGGCAAGCCUGAUGGAGCCAUGCCGCGUGUGUGAAGAAGGCCUUCGGGUGGUAAAGCACUUUGAGGGGGGAGGCGGUACCCGCUGAGGAAGCACCGGCUAACUCCGUGCCAGCAGCCGCGGUAAUUC